GGCAGAUCAUGGCAGGGAGGGGAUGUGACGAAUCUUCAGUCAUGGAGCUUGUUAUGGCACCAGAGGAGAGGAAACCGAACCUGACAUUCGAGUCAGAAGAGCUCCGUGAUCAACAGAAAGCAUUACUAAUGAAGUCCAAGGCAGACAUGCAAGACAGAAAGG
ensembl:lincRNA